CACAAUCACAUCUAUCUUCAUUCUAUAAGCAGUUGUACCAUUAAUCAAUUCAUCACAACUUCAAUGUACAAUCAUCCUCACUGCUACUACAAACCUCACAAUGUGAAAGCAGCCACUAAUUGCAUGGAAAUUGCAUUUUCAUAACAAAAUUAAUAAAUAUAGCUCACAAGAUAAUUAUAUGCCCUACCAAAUGGAUACAAAAAAUAAAAAUUAAUCUACAGCAGAGGGUUUCUUUAUAGUAAAUACAGGUCCAGCAUUUAGCGGAAGGAGGCUCCAAUAAGAACCUCGGUAGUCUAUACAACAACUGUGCCACUUGAUUCUAUAAGAACCAACUGGAAAAUCAGAAACAUCAAGCAGGCAACUGGAAAAGCCUUGCCCUCUAUCAUUUAGCUCAAAACACACAAAUCUGUACACAGUCCCAUCGUCACUACUAGCAUCGUAAUCCCGACCACGUUUACAAUUGUCCGUCUUCUUGGCACGAUCAAUUACUUGGUGCCACAAUCUUUCAUUCAUUGCAAUCAUACUGGACAUUUCCCAAUCAUCGUAAUCCAACUGCAUUUGCCCUCUGGCUUCUCCACUUGAUUUAGGCUCCUGAAAAGAUGCACUAGAACAAAGAAUGCAAUAAAGCUUUGUCAUCCGAACUGCGAGAUUCAUUGGCACAUUCCUCAAUUGAAGACAAAGAUUUAUUGAUAGGUGGAAGCCUUGCAACACAGUCAACUCAUUUGAGUUUCUACUGUCUCCACUAAUCACAAUGAGCUCUGAACCAAUGCAUGGCCUUAAUUUAAAGAAAUACUUUGGGAUUCGGAAAGGGAUGUGCAUCCAUUCAGUGAUAGUCUUCAACACAAGCUGGAAACCAUCCUUGAUAAUGUGGAAUAAAAUCUCUUCAUUGUGCACUCCCCUAGUCUCAUUUUGCAAGCCAACAAUGCCAGAAACAGCAUAUUUACAAACAUUGAGAAUAUCUCUCACUUCACCGCCAGAAUUCAAUAUUUGAUUUCUAGGCUGCAAGUCAAAACAGUUUUUGGACUUUCCAUUGACCUCUAAAAGCAGAAACAAAUUAGAACAGAUCUCCUGGUCUAUAAGCCACAACCGUGAGGCUAAAUUCUGUAUUAACAUUCCUUGUAAAUAGUUCGUUGAGCUUUGCAGAUCACAUGGAGCUAAAAUUUCAUAGUCAGGCAACUUUGAAAUGAAAAGAGAAAAUCCAAUUGUGAAUGCCAGUAGUGAACAACUCAAUGCAAGUGCUGAAAUAAUUUUUGAACUUCUCCUGUCCAUGCCAAUGAAAGACAUGGCAAUUAGAUCAAAUUCUUGCGCUAGACUCUUCAAUUGAAACGAUGUUUGAGUAAUUUUCCGCAAACAGUCAAGGCACUCAACUGUAACACUUGUAUCAACCUGUACAUUGUUGCUAAUACUGCACUGGGCAAGUGGAAUGGUACCCAGAACUUUAAGUACAUGCACCACAGUUCUUAGGACCUUCCCUCUCAGAGCCAAAAACCAUCUCUGGAAACAACAUGAUUUUUCCAAAAUGGCAAUGGAUUUUAAUGUUUCCCCAGAGUAGUAAAGGCCAUGGUAAACCCCAACAAGCAAUUCGGUACUACUAGGCUCACUGAUAUUUCCAACAGCAACUUGGCCAAUUUCAUCAAGACUAUCCCCAAAAAAUGUGAUGCCAAAUUCUUUCAUCUUUAGCCAAUCCAUUAGCUUGGACCUGAGAUUUGGUAGGAGAAAAAGUAGAAUUUUCCCUUCAGACUCUGCAAAUUGAGCUAAUGCUUUUAACCAAUAAGAACAGGAAUCAGAUUGAACCUUACCUAUUAGUUGCCCAAAUAUGAAUGCAGCAGUGAUCCAUGCUCCCUGAUAUGCUGCAUAUAUCCCAGCUUUGUACACAGGCCAGUUAUCCCUCUCUAUUAACAUUUUCUCUACAAGUUCAAGAGAGAAAAUUUCAUGCUCACCUGACAGAUUACAAAGUGAGUUACCUAAAUUUCUACCAACACGACAAGGUUCCUCAUUUUUUUUUACCACACAACCGCAAAUAUUUUGAGAGUGCAACAGUACAGAGUAGAUGAUAUAUAUAUAUCGAUCAAAUAGUUUACAACUUUGCACCUGCUCAACCAAAAACUUAACUUGCUCAUGUAUUUCUGUAGUGAUGGCACUAACUUCAUUGAGAUUCUCAAUGCAAGUUACAGAAAACUUGAGGACAUUAUGUACCAAAUUCAAACUUAUGUACAUGCUCUUUUGUCCCCUAAAAUCAACAAGCUCAUGAACCGAUACACCUUCUUGCUUCGUAGUCAUGACAUUGUCAUGCAUAUCCAAAAGACAUUCAAUAAAUGAUCCAACUUUUUGCAGCACCAAGACACCUAGAUCAGGAUGUUCUCCAACGAGAAAAAGAAGAAGAUUGAGCAGGCUUUGAAAUUCCUGAAAUACUUUAGAAUUAUUCUGACUAACAUCCAAUAAUGGCUUGAACAUCAAGAUCAUCCGGUCCAUAAUCACUGAUAUGAUCCUCGUAGGCAGAGAAAAGAAACAAUCCCCAUCAGAUCCUACUUGCCUUCUUUCCCCAAGUCUUUUUGAUGCAUCCACAAGAAUUUGAAUUGCUAGCAUGCUCUCUGACAUUACAGGUGACUGAGCUGCUUUCUCAAUAAUGUUCAAUAGAAUGGUAAAAUCAAGCAUUUUGUCACAAGAAAGUUCAGGUAGUCCAUAUACAAGCGUCUGCAAAUUGAAUGUUAUGAUUCAAUGACUUCUAAAUUAUACAAUACUAAUAUACAAAUUCAUGGGAUGAGUUUAGAAAUGACCACCUGCAAAAUUUGUAAAGCUUCACAUUUCAUAGCUGAUGGAAGUUCAGUUUCAUCUAUAGUUCUGAGUAAUGUUCUGAUUGCAUGGGUACUAACAGAAGAGUGACAAAUUCCUUUCUUAAAUAUGAAAUUAAGGCACCUUAAUGCUGUUGCUUGCAACAUCAAAGUUUUCUCUCGGCUGAGAAACAACAAAAGUAAGUCCACCUGUUCAGAAAGAAGAAGGGUUGAUUUAGCAGCAAGUUUUGAGAGAGAAACCAGUAACGAAACCAAAAAAUCAUCUUCCGAAGAAUCUAAUACCAGUUGUAGGCCUAUCUUGUGAGCUCUAUUUGCAAUAGAAUAUGAGCACCCCAUUUUUGCAAAAACCCUUACUCCAGCUAAUCUUACGGCCACUGAUGUGUUAGGUGAAAUUAAAAUAUUAAGCAGCAUCUCCAAUACAACAGAUGCAAAGUCAGCGGCCAAAACACAAAAGCAACCUGCUGCAAAUAAAGCUGCUUUUACCUCCAAUAUUUCAGAGGAGACUAAACUGGAAAGUAGUAGGUAUCGUAUAUGAGCACUCUCUUUUGCAAAAUCAGCCCAGCAACCGAACAGAAUCAAAGCCAGCGCCCUUGACUCGACAUCUCCAGUAUCAAAAACAAUCUUUACUCUUUUCAAAAGCUCCAUUUGGUUGUGUAUCCUGGCCUUUGACAAAAUCCCUUCAUACCGUUUACCUUUCUUUUCUUUGUCAUUGUUCCUGAACACUGAUAAGAAAACCCUAACAACAGAAAGCCUUGUAUCCUUGUCACCCAAUCUAAAUGCAUCAGCAAGCCGUAAGAUGAUUGUAUUGGCAAAAAGUCUAUCUUCACCCAAAACUAAGCCAAACAUAUUGUAUACAGCCAUUGUGGGUUUGGGUUCUCUGUUCCACUGCUGCAAUCUUGAACCUAUCUGUUGUAUGGCCUUGACAGCUUGACCUGGCUUUUUGGAGCGAAGGGCCUUCUCAAGCUCAAUGCUCCAUUCCAUGGCACAAGCAGCAGAAAUUCUCUCCAUUACCGUUUCUUUCAAACCCACUUCCCUAAUGAUUCAAAUCAAAGCUUCGAUCAAAUUCCCACUACCUACCCACAAGCCGACAUCGACUUUUACCUUGGUGAGCAGAAGAAGUGAAGAACAGAAGAAGAAGAAGAAGAAUAGAGA
rnacentral:misc_RNA from 1 species